rnacentral:lncRNA from 1 species
UGGUGGCAAACUCAAAUAUUACAUUCCUGCCCAUUAUAGGGCUAUUUCAAGUACCACAUUCCUUCUCAUAGUGGAACUAUUUUCAAUGCCAUGUUCUUGUCCAUGACGGACUAUUCUCAAUAUCACAUUUCUGUCGAUGACGAGGUUAUUAUCAUUUUAACGUGGCUAGUCUAAAUACCUCUUUCUUAAUUAUUAAUUUAUUA